rnacentral:rRNA from 1 species
ACCUCCUACGGGAGGCUGCAGUGGGGAAUAUUGCACAAUGGGGGAAACCCUGAUGCAGCCAUGCCGCGUGUAUGAAGAAGGCCUUCGGGUUGUAAAGUACUUUCAGUUGUGAGGAAGGCGUUGGAGUUAAUAGCUUCAGCGUUUGACGUUAGCAACAGAAGAAGCACCGGCUAACUCCGUGCCAGCAGCCGCGGUAAUACGGAGGGUGCGAGCGUUAAUCGGAAUUACUGGGCGUAAAGCGCAUGCAGGCGGUCUGUUAAGCAAGAUGUGAAAGCCCGGGGCUCAACCUCGGAACAGCAUUUUGAACUGGCAGACUAGAGUCUUGUAGAGGGGGGUAGAAUUUCAGGUGUAGCGGUGAAAUGCGUAGAGAUCUGAAGGAAUACCGGUGGCGAAGGCGGCCCCCUGGACAAAGACUGACGCUCAGAUGCGAAAGCGUGGGGAGCAAACAGGAUUAGAUACCCGUGUAGUCCCCGC